rnacentral:tRNA from 1 species
GCCCGGAUAGCUCAGUCGGUAGAGCACCAGACUUUUAAUCUGAGGGUCCAGGGUUCGAGUCCCUGUUCGGGCG